CAAUAGCGUAUAUUUAAGUUGUUGCAGUUAAAAAGCUCGUAGUCGGAUUUUGGCUGAGAACGAUCGGUCCGCCGUUAGGUGUGCACUGAUUGGUCUCAGCUUCCUGGUGAGGAGGUGUGCUUCACGGCCACUUAGUCACCGUGGUUACUUAGAAAAAAUUAGAGUGUUCAAAGCGGGCUUACGCUUGAAUAUAUUAGCAUGGAAUAACACCAUAGGACUCCUGUCCUAUUUCGUUGGUCUCGGGACGGGAGUAAUGAUUAAGAGGAACAGUUGGGGGCAUUCGUAUUUCAUUGUCAGAGGUGAAAUUCUUGGAUUUAUGAAAGACGAACUUCUGCGAAAGCAUUUGCCAAGGAUGUUUUCAUUGA
rnacentral:rRNA from 1 species